UACGUAGGGUCCGAGCGUUUGUCCGGAAUUAUUGGGCGUAAAGGGCUCGUAGGCGGUCCGUCACGUCGGGAGUGAAAACUCAGGGCUCAACCCUGAGCGUGCUUCCGAUACGGGCGGACUAGAGGUAUGCAGGGGAGAACGGAAUUCCUGGUGUAGCGGUGGAAUGCGCAGAUAUCAGGAGGAACACCGGUGGCGAAGGCGGUUCUCUGGGCAUUACCUGACGCUGAGGAGCGAAAGCAUGGGGAGCGAACAGG
rnacentral:rRNA from 1 species